AGUGUCACGCCGGUGUGAACGGGUUACUUUGAUGAAGUAAACAACAAGAGACUACUCUUUGACACUU
rnacentral:tRNA from 1 species